rfam:Triticum aestivum genome assembly, contig: Triticum_aestivum_CS42_TGACv1_scaffold_001229_1AL
GCACUACUCCCUCCGUCCGGAAAUACUUGUCCUAGAAAUGGAUAAAAUGGAUGUAUCUAUAACUAAAAUAAGUCUAGAUACAUUCAUUUCUAGGACAAGUAUUUCUGGAUGGAGGGAGUACAUA